rnacentral:lncRNA from 1 species
AUGAACUACCAAAUUCCUUUAGUGUUCGCGAUCAUUUGUGUCCAGGGACUGUUAGCAGCCCCUACCUCAAAUGCUCUGCCAGAGAAGGAAAAGGAAUGGCUUGCCACCGAGCUCAAGAACCUGAAAGAAAAGGGAGAAAUGUUCAAAAUGGCAAUGAAUAACUACAUUACUGCCAAACCAGAGCUGGGUGAUAUGAUCGACGAUCUCCUCGCGAAAGGUCAAAAAAUCGCAGCUGACUUCGAAGAGUUCCACGGGAAAGUCGCCAACGAGGGACUCGAAGGUGAGGAAGUGGAAGCCAAAUACCGCGAAUUCUACGACUCACUGAAACAACUCGAGCCUCCAGAGACAACUGCAGGAAUCAUCAACUUCUUCUUCUUAUUUCUUGAUCUAUGUUAA